CUGUAUAUGGUAAUACACUGCCUAGUUGGUAUUCCACUGCCUCUGCUCACAGAGAUGCCUGAGACCACCGAAGCCAUCUUGUAUCCGUGAGGCCCGUUUCCCAGCAAGAGCGGAAGGUCUGCGGUGGCAGAGAGGAGAAAAGAGCAUGAACCCUUGAAGAUGCUUUUGAACUGCUGGAGAAACCAGUCCCGAAGCCCCCUG